AUUGAACGCUGGCGGCAGGCCUAACACAUGCAAGUCGAGCGAGCGGCGGACGGGUGUGUAAUGUAUGGGGACUGCCCGAUAGAGGGGGAUAACUACUGGAAACGGUGGCUAAUACCGCCUACUGUCGGAUAACCCAUAUGGGAUUAGCUAGUAGGUAAGGUAAUGGCUUACCUAGGCGACGAUCCCUAGCUGGUCUGAGGGGAUGAUCAGCCACACGGGGACGGCGACAGGGCCCAGACGCCUACGGGGGCAGCAGGGGGAAAUAUUGCACAAUGGGCGAAAGCCUGAGGCAGCCAGGCCGCGGGUAUGAAGAAGGCCCUAGGGUGGUAAAGUACUUUCAGUCGGGAGGCGUUACCGACAGAAGAAGCAACGGCUAACUCCGUGCCAGCAGCCGCGGUAAUUC
rnacentral:rRNA from 1 species